CAAUAGCGUAUAUUAAAGUUGUUGCAGUUAAAAAGCUCGUAGUUGGAUUUCUGGUGAGAUGGAUUAUGUCUAGGUCGAAAGAUCUUGUUCAUGGUUCGUUUUGCCCUUCUUGUCAGGAACCCGCUGAGAUUCGCGUCUUGUCGGUGGAAUGGCAUCGUUUACUGUGAAAAAAUUAGAGUGUUCAAAGCAGGCUCAACGCCUUGAAUACACAAGCUUGGAAUAAUAGAAUACGACUGAAGUCUUUUUUGUUGGUUAUAAGGCUUUAGUAAUGGUUAAUAGAAACAGUUGGGGGCAUUAGUAUCUAAUUGUCAGAGGUGAAAUUCUUGGAUUAAUUAGAGACUAACUUAUGCGAAAGCAUUUGCCAAAGAUGUUUUCAAUUGA
rnacentral:rRNA from 1 species